UACGGAGGGCGCAAGCGUUGUUCGGAAUCACUGGGCGUGAAGCGCGUGUAGGCGGCUUGGUAAGUCGGGUGUGAAAGCCCGGGGCCUAACCCCGGAACUGCACUCGAAACUGCCUCGCUCGAGUCCCGGAGAGGAUGGUGGAAUUCCCGGUGUAGUGGUGAAAUACGUAGAUAUCGGGAGGGACACCAGCGGCGAAGGCGGCCAUCUGGACGGUGACUGACGCUGAGACGCGAAAGCGUGGGGAGCAAACAGG
rnacentral:rRNA from 1 species